GGGGAAUCGAGCCCGAGCCCGAGCCACUGUCAGGCGGGGAAUGAAGGGCUAGGGCGCGCGCCCACGUGGGGUCAGCCUGAACUCGCGCGCCUGCCCGCCACCCCUCGACCUCGCGGGAAUCGCUGCGCAGUUUUCUGGUCUACACGCUCAUACCCGGUGGUUUCAAACUCUGGCUGUUACUGGGCGCCAGUGCGGAGCCUUCCAGCCAUUCGUGCAGUCAUUCAUUCGGCUCUCUUCAGCGCCUCUAGCGACUGAGCCGGGCCUGGGCGCGGCGCAAACGAGGCCGCUGAGCGACUGUGACCGUGACCGUGAGCUCGGUCGGAGAGACUGACCGUCAACACGCAAAGGGACAGGUACCCCGGAAAUCUGGGAUGAGGAGUGCCGAGGUGCACUUCGUCCCGGUCGUACUUUCCAGAAGAGGGACCCGGGUUCCGUAAGCGGCAGCAAACCUGCUGAAGCACUGAGGGCCGGCUGGGGGCUUCCUCCCACUUUAACCUCCAUACAGCCUUGCCAGAGAGAAGUUAUGAUCCCCAUUUCUCCAGAAGGAAACAGAUUGAGUGGCCCAAAGAUCACCCAACAAGAAGGGCAGCGCUAGGGCUCUCAGAUCCCAGAGCCCUAUUUUCUGUAUUCUAGUAACCCCUAAGUGGAAACAGCACAGAGGUCCUUCCAUGGAUGACGGUUAAACAGACUGUGAUCCACCCAUACCAUGCAGUCCUACUCAGCAGUAAAGGAAUGAGCAAGUGAUACAUGGACAGACACCUCAGAUGAAUCUGCGGGGAAUUACAAGUGGAAAAACAGCCAAUCCCCAGAGGUUACAUACUCUGUGAUUGCAUUCAUACAACAUCCUUGAAGUGGCAAAGUUCUAGAAAUGUAGGCUCCACACCCUACAUUGCAGCCCAAUGUAGGGCCCGAAUUUGUGCUCCUGAGAUCAAGACUUGAGCUGGGAUCAAGAGUUGGACACAACCCAAUGAGCCACCCAGAUAGCUCGAAGCUCUGCCCCAUGUCGUUUUGAAACAAAUCCAAGGGAUCUUAUCAUUUCAUCUGUAUGUCAGUGUGUGUAUCUUUAAAA